UUCACGUGCUGUAGACUGGAACAGAUA
rnacentral:sRNA from 1 species